rnacentral:rRNA from 1 species
UACAGAGGGGGCAAGCGUUAUUCGGAAUUAUUGGGCGUAAAGGGCGCGUAGGCGGCCGUGCAAGUCUUGGGUGAAAUCCCUCGGCUCAACCGAGGAACUGCCUUGGAAACUGCACUGGCUUGAGGCCGGGAGAGGGUGGUGGAAUUCCCAGUGUAGCGGUGAAAUGCGUAGAUAUUGGGAGGAACACCAGUGGCGAAGGCGGCCACCUGGACCGGUCCUGACGCUGAGGCGCGAAAGCGUGGGGAGCAAACAGG